GCCCGGGUGGCUCAGUUGGUUGAGCAUCUGACUCCGGCUCAGGUCAUGAUAAUGCGGUCUGUGAGUUCGAGCUCCGCGUCGGGCU
rfam:Felis catus isolate Cinnamon breed Abyssinian chromosome B3, whole genome shotgun sequence.